AUGUCGUCGUUUUCCUCUUAUCCUAUAAAAAAAUCCUAAAAGGUUUAAAAGGUGAAGUAAACAAGCGAAGUACUGGGCACAUGGGGAGCGGGAGUGGAGUGGGCUGCUUCCCUUCAAGUUUGGCUGCCUCAAUUCUCAAGUCGGGUUGUUCUACUUCAACCAAAAAACCAAAACUCUCAAGUCGGGUUCAUAUCAUGGGAAGUGGACCAGAUGAGUUGGACUAA
rnacentral:lncRNA from 1 species